rnacentral:rRNA from 1 species
GAUGAACGCUGGCGGCGUGCUUAACACAUGCAAGUCGAACGAAGCACCUUGAUUCGAUUCUUCGGAUGAAGAUCUUGGUGACUGAGUGGCGGACGGGUGAGUAACGCGUGGGUAACCUGCCUCAUACAGGGGGAUAACAGUUAGAAAUGACUGCUAAUACCGCAUAAGACCACCGCACCGCAUGGUGCAGGGGUAAAAACUCCGGUGGUAUGAGAUGGACCCGCGUCUGAUUAGGUAGUUGGUGGGGUAACGGCCUACCAAGCCGACGAUCAGUAGCCGACCUGAGAGGGUGACCGGCCACAUUGGGACUGAGACACGGCCCAAACUCCUACGGGAGGCAGCAGUGGGGAAUAUUGCAAAAUGGGGGAAACCCUGAUGCAGCGACGCCGCGUGAGCGAUGAAGUAUUUCGGUAUGUAAAGCUCUAUCAGCAGGGAAGAAAAUGACGGUACCUGACUAAGAAGCACCGGCUAAAUACGUG